GACGAACGCUGGCGGCGUGCUUAAUACAUGCAAGUGGAGCGACGAACCAGGCUUCGGCCUGGGGCAGAGCCGCGAACGGGUGAGUAACACGUGGGUAACCUGCCUCGAUGACCGGGACAACCCGGGGAAACCCGGGCUAAUACCGGAUGUGCUGUCCCCACAUCAGUGGAGACAGGAAAGGAAGCUUCGGCCUCCGCAUCGAGAUGGGCCCGCGGCCCAUUAGCUUGUUGGUGUGGAACGGCUCACCAAGGCUGCGAUGGGUAGCUGGUCUGAGAGGACGAUCAGCCACACUGGGACUGAGACACGGCCCAGACUCCUACGGGAGGCAGCAGUAGGGAAUCUUGCGCAAUGCGCGAAAGCGUGACGCAGCAACG
rnacentral:rRNA from 1 species